AGCUCAUAAAUGCUUCACAAUCAGAUUCUGUAAACACAGGAAUCUCCAGGCUGGGUGGGAGUAAGUCUUAAAGAUCAACAAAUCAAUCAUUUGAAUGCUCUGAAAUUGUCUAAAACCUUCCUAUGAAGCCUCAGGCAAACAGCAGCUCUGGAAAGAAAGAAAUCUAAAGGGAGAGAUGAGAGACAGUACAUAUCAACCAAGAGUGAAGAGGCUGAGGCAGCUAAAAUGCCUGCCCCUGCUGCACAGUCCAGGCUUGAUUUCAUCGCCUUGUCCUCCUGAGCCAGAGAGAGGAGCUGUCCAAAUUAUAGAUAUGAAGGCUAAAAAGUACUUACAACCUAGGUCUACCAUUCCUGCAAUGCUAUUUGUGACAAGCUGGCAUUCUGGAAAUGCCUCUUUCAACAAUAAGAAAGACAUUAUCCACAGAUUCAAACCUUCUCUCAAAGCCUACUUUGUUUCCCGUGUGUGCUGAGCAAUGUUGGGCAAGCAAGUCUAGGCCCACCUACUGUUUGCUUCACCUCUAGCCCAUCUCCAUGCCUGAUUACCCCUAUAAUAAAUCAUUUUCCUCCAACA
rnacentral:lncRNA from 13 species